rnacentral:rRNA from 11 species
CUUCAAAACUUAAAUACCCUGAUGGCACUAGAUCUUGACUGAUCUUAGAAGAUAAGUAGGGUCAGGCCUGGCUGGUACUUGAAAGGGAGACUGCCAAGGAAUGGAAGAUAUUGUGGGUU